CCCUUAGAUGUCCGGGGCCGCACGCGCGCUACACUGAAGGAAUCAGCGUGGCUUUCUCCCUGACCCGAAAGGGUUGGGAAACCCGUUGAAUCUCCUUCGUGAUAGGGAUUGGGGCUUGAAAUUGUUCCCCAUGAACGAGGAAUUCCCAGUAAGCGCGAGUCAUAAGCUCGCGUUGAUUACGUCCCUGCCCUUUGUACACACCGCCCGUCGCUACUACCGAUUGAACGGUUUAGUGAGGGCCUCGGAUUGGUCUCGGCCGCUCUUUACCGGGCGGCGCCGUUGGUCGAGAAGACGCUCGAACUUGAUCGUUUAGAGGAAGUAAAAGUCGUAACA
rnacentral:rRNA from 1 species